GACAGAGGGUGCAAACGUUGUUCGGAAUUACUGGGCGUAAAGCGCGUGUAGGCUGCUUGGAAAGUCGGAUGUGAAAGCCCUGGGCUCAACCCAGGAAGUGCAUUCGAAACUUCCGAGCUCGAGUUCUGGAGAGGAUAGCGGAAUUCUCGGUGUAGAGGUGAAAAUUCGUAGAUAUCGAGAGGAACACCGGUGGCGAAGGCGGCUAUCUGGACAGAAACUGACGCUGAGACGCGAAAGCGUGGGGAGCAAACAGGG
rnacentral:rRNA from 1 species